GAGCAAACGGGGCGGAAAUUCGUUCUUCCCACACUCUGCCCGCGGGGACGCAGGCGGAGAAAGAGGAGACGGCAGAGGGAGGACAGACCCCGGCAGGGGGAGGAGGAAACACUAAGUGGCUCCGCGUCUGGUCAGCCCGGGCCCGGGAUGCCAAGUGCCACCCUGCGGGAAGUUUGGGCAGCACGGAGUCCGCCAGCAUUCUACAGGAAGUUUGGGGGAGCACAAGGUUGCCUGCAGAAGGCCAUCAGAAGGGGAGAGUGAUCUGCCUGCUCCCCGCAGUUGAGAGUGCUGCACUGCAAGUGUUACCUGGUGAGGCCCACCUCCAGCCCACUACUUCUGGGGUAUGUGAGGUCUGCCUGCAAUGGGGUGGAUUGUCUACUUAAUUCCACCCUUCAGUUAGCCAGCCCAAUUGUCCCUCACACUGAGCCAUACCUUCCAUUUUAGCCUUUAUCAGUAAUGAAGGGGAAAUUUUGGUUCUCAAAAAAAUUAAA
rnacentral:lncRNA from 10 species